rnacentral:rRNA from 1 species
AGUGAACGCUGGCGGUAGGCCUAACACAUGCAAGUCGAACGAGUGGCGGACGGGUGAGGAAUGCAUCGGAAUCUACUCUAUCGAGGGGGAUAACUUCGGGAAACUUACGCUAAUACCGCAUACGAUUGAAUGAGCCGAUGUCGGAUUAGCUAGUUGGCGGGGUAACGGCUCACCAAGGCGACGAUCCGUAGCUGGUCUGAGAGGAUGAUAAGCAACACUGGAACUGAUACACGGUCCAGAAUCCUACGGGAGGCAGCAUUGGGGAAUAUUGGACAAUGGGCGCAAGCCUGAUCAAGCCAUACCGCGUGGGUGAAGAAGGCCUUCGGGUUGGAAAGUCCUUUUGUUGGGAAAGCGGUACCCAAAGAAUAAGCACCGGCUAACUUCGUGCCAGCAGCCGCGGUAAUUC